rnacentral:rRNA from 1 species
UAGGGAAUCUUCCACAAUGGGUGCAAACCUGAUGGAGCAAUGCCGCGUGAGUGAAGAAGGUUUUCGGAUCGUAAAGCUCUGUUGUUAGAGAAGAACACGUGCUAGGUAACUACUAGCGCCUUGACGGUAUCUAACCAGAAAGUCACGGCUAACUACGUGCCAGCAGCCGCGGUAAUACGUAGGUGACAAGCGUUGUCCGGAUUUAUUGGGCGUAAAGGGAGCGCAGGCGGUCUGUUUAGUCUAAUGUGAAAGCCCACGGCUUAACCGUGGAACGGCAUUGGAAACUGACAGACUUGAAUGUAGAAGAGGAAAAUGGAAUUCCAAGUGUAGCGGUGGAAUGCGUAGAUAUUUGGAGGAACACCAGUGGCGAAGGCGAUUUUCUGGUCUAACAUUGACGCUGAGGCUCGAAAGCGUGGGGAGCGAACAGGAUUAGAUACCCUGGCAGUCCACGCCGUAAACGAUGAGUGCUAAGUGUUGGGGGCUUUCCGGCCCUCGGUGCUGGAGCUAACGUAUUAAGCACUCCGCCUGGGGAUUACGACCGCAAGGUUG